GUGUAGAAAGACUCGAUUUAAGUAAUUACAGAAGCACAGCUAUUCCUGGAUCCUCACAAUGACAUAUUUUUACUUUCUUGGGUUCUUUAUACUAUGCCUUAAAAUGGAUACGUCUUUACAACAGGAAGGGAUAAUAUGUACAGCACCCGAGAUUGAAAAUGGUGAUGUGCUUGGACAAAUCCAAGAGUACAAAGAAAAUCAAGUCCUGGAGUUUCAGUGUAAACCCUCAUUUACACGCGCUGAAGCCAGAUCUUCAAAAUGCACAGAGCGAGGAGUAAGAGCAGAAUGGAGCCCCACACCUCUGUGUGAACCAAUAACAUGUAAACUACAACUGCCAGGGCUGAAGGA